CCGCGUAUUGGUGACGMGGAGGGAUCAUUACCGAGUUUACAACUCCCAAACCCCUGUGAACAUACCUAUUUGUUGCCUCGGCGGUGCCUGUUCCGACAGCCCGCCAGAGGACCCCAAACCCUGAUUACAUUUAAGAAGUCUUCUGAGUAAACCGAUUAAAUAAAUCAAAACUUUCAACAACGGAUCUCUUGGUUCUGGCAUCGAUGAAGAACGCAGCGAAAUGCGAUAAGUAAUGUGAAUUGCAGAAUUCAGUGAAUCAUCGAAUCUUUGAACGCACAUUGCGCCCGCUAGUAUUCUGGCGGGCAUGCCUGUCCGAGCGUCAUUUCAACCCUCAAGCCCCCGGGCUUGGUGUUGGGGAUCGGCGAGCCUCCGCGCCCGCCGUCCCCUAAAUCUAGUGGCGGUCUCGCUGUAGCUUCCUCUGCGUAGUAGCACACCUCGCACUGGGAAACAGCGCGGCCACGCCGUUAAACCCCCAACUUCUGAACGUUUGACCUCGGAUCAGGUAGGAAUACCCGCUGAACUUAA
rnacentral:misc_RNA from 1 species